rnacentral:rRNA from 1 species
UACGGGGGGGGCAAGCGUUGUUCGGAAUUACUGGGCGUAAAGGGCGCGUAGGUGGCCAACUAAGUCAGACGUGAAAUCCCUCGGCUUAACCGGGGAACUGCGUCUGAUACUGGAUGGCUUGAGUUUGGGAGAGGGACGCGGAAUUCCAGGUGUAGCGGUGAAAUGCGUAGAUAUCUGGAGGAACACCGGUGGCGAAGGCGGGUCUCUGGGCAAUUCCUGACGCUGAGGCGCGAAAGCGUGGGGAGCGAACAGG